rnacentral:rRNA from 1 species
UGCAUGUCUCAGUGCAAGCCACAUUAAGGUGAAACCGCGAAUGGCUCAUUACAUCAGUUAUGGUUCCUUAGAUCGUACCCACAUUACUUGGAUAACUGUGGUAAUUCUAGAGCUAAUACAUGCAAACAGAGUUCCGACCAGAGAUGGAAGGAAUGCUUUUAUUAGAUCAAAACCAAUCGGUGGCGGGCUUGCCUUGCUCACCGUUUGACUUGGUGACUCUGAAUAACUUUGUGCUGAUCGCACGGUCUCGUACCGGCGACGCAUCUUUCAAAUGUCUGCCUUAUCAACUGUCGAUGGUAGUUUCUGCGACUACCAUGGUUGUUACGGGUAACGGGGAAUCAGGGUUCGAUUCCGGAGAGGGAGCCUGAGAAACGGCUACCACAUCCAAGGAAGGCAGCAGGCGCGCAAAUUACCCACUCCCGGCACGGGGAGGUAGUGACGAAAAAUAACGAUACGGGACUCAUCCGAGGCCCCGUAAUCGGAAUGAGUACACUUUAAAUCCUUUAACAAGGACCAUUGGAGGGCAAGCCUGGUGCCAGCAGCCGCGGUAAUUCCAGCUCCAAUAGCAUAUAUUAAAGUUGUUGCGGUUAAAAAGCUCGUAGUUGAAUCUGUGUCCCACACUGUCGGUUCACCGCUCGCGGUGUUCAACUGGCACGUCUGUGGGACGUCCUACCGGUGGGCGCAGCCCGUCAAAAGGCGGCCCAACUCAAAAUCCUACCACGGUGCUCUUUACCGAGUGUCGAGGUGGGCCGGUACGUUUACUUUGAACAAAUUAGAGUGCUUAAAGCAGGCUCAUUCGCCUGAAUAUUCUGUGCAUGGAAUAAUGGAAUAGGACCUCGGUUCUAUUUUGUUGGUUUUCGGAAUUCCGAGGUAAUGAUUAAUAGGGACAACUGGGGGCAUUCGUAUUGCGACGUUAGAGGUGAAAUUCUUGGAUCGUCGCAAGACGGACAGAAGCGAAAGAAA